rnacentral:rRNA from 1 species
GAAAAAUCUCAUGAGUGUGUUUACUGCUCUGAUAGAGAGUCUAUACAGCAUUUAUUUUUCGAGUGUGUUGUUGCUAAGCAAAUAUGGAAAGCUGUUUCAGAUUUCUUCUCCUGCUCCCUGGGAGCUGAUUACCUUUCCAUUGCUGAAAUUUGGAUAGCCAAUAAGAAACACACCGCUCUAAAUUCUAUUUGUGCAUGUGUACUUUGGGCUAUGUGGAAACAUAGAAGCUCUUGUAUCUUUAGAAAUGUAAUGUGGAUUGAUUUGAAAUAGAUCUGGAACUUGAUGCUGGGGCUCUUGAGGAGAUGGUUGAUUCUUCUCAAGGACGCACCUCGUCUAAAGAUGGAGGAGUUCAUGACCAGAGUUUCCUUGAUCCUGAACACCCCUUUCCAGCUCACAGCGGGGUAG